GCGGGGAUAGCUCAGCUGGGAGAGCGUCAGACUGAAGUCAACUUCUGUUUCUCAAAUCUGAAGGUCAUGUGUUCGAUCCACAUUCACCGCA